rnacentral:lncRNA from 1 species
GGACAGCGUGACAGCUGGACUCUGUUUUAAAAAAGUGGUAUGAGGAGGACAGCGUGACAGUUGGACUCUGUUUUAAAAGUGGUAUGAGGAGGACAGCGUGACAGUUAGACUCUGUUUUAAAAGUGGUAUGAGGAGGACAGUGUGACAGUUAGAUUCUGUUUUAAAAGUGGUAUGAGGAGGACAGUGUGACAGUUAGACUCUGUUUUAAAAGUGGUAUGAGGAGGACAGUGUGACAGCUGGACUCUGUUUUAAAAGUGGUAUGAGGAGGACAGCGUGACAGUUGGACUCUGUUUUAAAAGUGGUAUGAGGAGGACAGCGUGACAGUUGGACUCUGUUUUAAAAGUGGUAUGAGGAGGACAGUGUGACAGCUGGACUCUGUUAUAAAAAAGUGGUAUGAGGAGGACAGCGUGACAGUUAGACUCUGUUUUAAAAGUGGUAUGAGGAGGACAGCGUGACAGUUAGACUCUGUUUUAAAAGUGGUAUGUGGAGGACAGUGUGACAGUUAGACUCUGUUUUAAAAGUGGUAUGAGAAGGACAGUGUGACAGUUAGACUCUGUUUUAAAAGUGGUAUGAGGAGGACAGCGUGACAGCUGGACUGUUAUAAAAAAGUGGUAUGAGGAGGACAGUUAGACUCUGUUUUAAAAAAGUGGUAUGAGGAGGACAGCGUGACAGUUGGACUCUGUUUUAAAAGUGGUAUGAGGAGGACAGUGUGACAGUUGGACUCUGUUUUAAAAGUGGUAUGAGGAGGACAGUGUGACAGUUAGACUCUGUAUUAAAAGCGGUAUGAGGAGGACAGCGUGACAGUUAGACUCUGUUUUAAAAAAGUGGUAUGAGGAGGACAGCGUGACAGCUGGACUGUUAUAAAAAAGUGGUAUGAGGAGGACAGUUAGACUCUGUUUUAAAAAAGUGGUAUGAGGAGGACAGCGUGACAUUUGGACUCUGUUUUAAAAGUGGUAUGAGGAGGACAGUGUGACAGUUGGACUCUGUUAUAAAAAAGUGGUAUGAGGAGGACAGCUUGACAGGUGGACUCUGUUUUAAAAGUGGUAUGAGGAGGACAGCGUGACAGCUGGACUCUGUUAUAAAAAAGUGGUAUGAGGAGGACAGCGUGACAGUUGGACUCUGUUUUAAAAGUGGAAUGAGGAGGACAGCGUGACAGUUGGACUCUGUUAUAAAAAAGUGGUAUGAGGAGGACAGCUUGACAGGUGGACUCUGUUUUAAAAGUGGUAUGAGGAGGACAGCGUGACAGCUGGACUCUGUUUUAAAAGUGGUAUGAGGAGGACAGUGUGACAGUUGGACUCUGUUUUAAAAGUGGUAUGAGGAGGACAGCGUGACAGUUAGACUCUGUUUUAAAAAGUGGUAUGAGGAGGACAGCGUGACAGUUAGACUCUGUAUUAAAAGCGGUAUGAGGAGGACAGCGUGACAGUUAGACUCUGUUUUAAAAAAGUGGUAUGAGGAGGACAGUGUGACAGUUAGACUCUGUUUUAAAAGUGGUAUGAGGAGGACAGCGUGACAGUUAGACUCUGUUUUAAAAAAGUGGUAUGAGGAGGACAGCGUGACAGCUGGACUGUUAUAAAAAAGUGGUAUGAGGAGGACAGUUAGACUCUGUUUUAAAAAAGUGGUAUGAGGAGGACAGCGUGACAGUUGGACUCUGUUUUAAAAAUGGUAUGAGGAGGACAGUGUGACAGUUGGACUCUGUUAUAAAAAAGUGGUAUGAGGAGGACAGCUUGACAGGUGGACUCUGUUUUAAAAGUGGUAUGAGGAGGACAGCGUGACAGCUGGACUCUGUUAUAAAAAAGUGGUAUGAGGAGGACAGCGUGACAGUUGGACUCUGUUUUAAAAGUGGAAUGAGGAGGACAGCGUGACAGUUGGACUCUGUUAUAAAAAAGUGGUAUGAGGAGGACAGCUUGACAGGUGGACUCUGUUUUAAAAGUGGUAUGAGGAGGACAGCGUGACAGCUGGACUCUGUUAUAAAAAAGUGGUAUGAGGAGGACAGCGUGACAGUUGGACUCUGUUUUAAAAGUGGAAUGAGGAGGACAGCGUGACAGUUAGACUCUGUUUUAAAAGUGGUAUGAGGAGGACAGUGUGACAGUUAGACUCUGUUUUAAAAGUGGUAUGAGGAGGACAGCGUGACAGCUGGACUCUGUUAUAAAAAAGUGGUAUGAGGAGGACAGCGUGACAGUUAGACUCUGUUUUAAAAGUGGUAUGAGGAGGACAGCGUGACAGUUAGACUCUGUUUUAAAAGUGGUAUGAGGAGGACAGUGUGACAGUUAGACUCUGUUUUAAAAGUGGUAUGAGGAGGACAGUGUGACAGUUAGACUCUGUUUUAAAAGUGGUAUGAGGAGGACAGUGUGACAGCUGGACUCUGUUUUAAAAGUGGUAUGAGGAGGACAGUUAGACUCUGUUUUAAAAAAGUGGUAUGAGGAGGACAGCGUGACAGUUGGACUCUGUUUUAAAAGUGGUAUGAGGAGGACAGUGUGACAGUUGGACUCUGUUAUAAAAAAGUGGUAUGAGGAGGACAGCUUGACAGUUGGACUCUGUUUUAAAAGUGGUAUGAGGAGGACAGCGUGACUCUGUUAUAAAAAAGUGGUAUGAGGAGGACAGCGUGACAGUUGGACUCUAUUUUAAAAAGUGGUAUGAGGAGGACAGCGUGACAGUUGGACUCUGUUAUAAAAGUGGUAUGGGGAGGACAGCGUGACAGUUAGACUCUGUUUUAAAAGUGGUAUGAGAAGGACAGUGUGACAGUUAGACUCUGUUUUAAAAGUGGUAUGAGGAGGACAGUGUGACAGUUGGACUCUGUUAUAAAAAAGUGGUAUGAGGAGGACAGCUUGACAGUUGGACUCUGUUUUAAAAGUGGUAUGAGGAGGACAGCGUGACAGCUGGACUCUGUUAUAAAAAAGUGGUAUGGGGAGGACAGCGUGACAGUUAGACUCUGUUUUAAAAGUGGUAUGAGAAGGACAGUGUGACAGUUGGACUCUGUUUUAAAAAUGGUAUGAGGAGGACAGCGUGACAGUUGGACUCUGUUUUAAAAGUGGUAUGAGGAGGACAGUGUGACAGUUAGACUCUGUAUUAAAAGCGGUAUGAGGAGGACAGCGUGACAGUUAGACUCUGUUUUAAAAAAGUGGUAUGAGGAGGACAGCGUGACAGUUGGACUCUGUUUUAAAAGUGGUAUGAGGAGGACAGUUGGACCGCUGUUCUGAUGUGUCACACAGUGGUAUAACGAUAGUGUCAGCUAGUUAGUUAUUUGGUGUCAAUAUGCAGUGUCUCCCAGUGUGUGUGUGUGUGUGUGUGUGUGUGUGUGUGUGUGUGUGUGUGUGUGUGUGUGUGUGUGUGUGUGUGUGUGUGUGUGUGUGUGUGUGUGUGUGUGUGUGUGUGUGUGUGUGUGUGUGUGUGUGUGUGUGUGUGUGUGUGUGCGCGCGUACCAGGACCACUCACCUUCUCCUGAACAUCUCAGCGAAGAUACAGCCCACACUCCACAAGUCAACUGGGGUGGCAUAGCUGGACUGGAGCAACACCUCUGGGGCUCUGUACCACAACGUCACCACCUACACACACACAAUCAGCACACGGAGUAUACCAAACAUUAGGAACACCUUCCUGAUAAUGAGUUGGAGAGGAAGAGAGGAGAGGAGUUGAGGAGUAAAGGAGGAGAGAAAGAGAGGAUGAGAGGAGUUGAGGAGUAAAGGAGGAGCGAAAGAGAGGAGUAAAGGAGGAGAGAAAGAGAGGAUGAGAGGAGUUGAGGAGUAAAGGAGGAGAGAAAGAGAGGAGGAGAGGAGUUGAGGAGUAAAGGAGGAGAGGAAGAGAGGAGUUGAGGAGUAAAGGAGGAGAGAAAGAGAGGAGUUGAGGAGUAAAGGAGGAGAGAAAGAGAGGAUGAGAGGAGUAAAGGAGUAAAGGAGGAGAGAAAGAGAGGAGGAGAGGAGUUGAAGAGAGGAAGAGAGGAGUUGGGGAGUAAAGGAGGAGAGGAAGAGAGGAGU